UCAGUAACGGCGAGUGAAGCGGUAACAGCUCAAAUUUGAAAUCUGGCCUCACGGUCCGAGUUGUAAUUUGUAGAGGAUGCUUCGAGCAUGGUCUGGCCUAAGUUCCUUGGAACAGGACGUCAUAGAGGGUGAGAAUCCCGUAUGCGGCCAGGUGCCUACGCUCAUGUGAAGCUCCUUCGACGAGUCGAGUUGUUUGGGAAUGCAGCUCAAAAUGGGUGGUAAAUUUCAUCUAAAGCUAAAUAUUGGCCAGAGACCGAUAGCGCACAAGUAGAGUGAUCGAAAGAUGAAAAGCACUUUGGAAAGAGAGUUAAACAGUACGUGAAAUUGUUGAAAGGGAAGCGCUUGCAACCAGACUUGCGCGCGGCCGAUCAUCCGGUGUUCUCACCGGUGCACUCGGCCGUGCUCAGGCCAGCAUCGGUUUUGGCGGCUGGAUAAAGGCCCUAGGAAUGUAGCUCCUCUCGGGGAGUGUUAUAGCCUAGGGUGCAAUGCAGCCUGCUGGGACCGAGGACCGCGCUUCGGCUAGGAUGCUGGCGUAAUGGUUGUAAGCGGCCCGUCUUGAAACACGGACCAAGGAGUCUAACAUCUAUGCGAGUGUUUGGGUGUCAAACCCAUACGCGUAAUGAAAGUGAACGGAGGUGAGAACCCUUAAGGGUGCAUCAUCGACCGGUCCUGAAGUUUACGGAAGGAUCUGAGUAAGAGCAUAGCUGUUGGGACCCGAAAGAUGGUGAACUAUGCCUGAAUAGGGUGAAGCCAGAGGAAACUCUGGUGGAGGCUCGCAGCGGUUCUGACGUGCAAAUCGAU
rnacentral:rRNA from 1 species